rfam:Oryza barthii chromosome 2, whole genome shotgun sequence.
UUUAAAUGCAAAUAUGAGUUUCCGUGUUCAACUUGAUCGUCCGUCUUAUUUGAAAAAUAUUAUAAUCAGUAUUUUUUAUGAGAUAAUAAAACAUCAAUAGUAUUUUACUCGUAACUUAUGAUUUAUUUUUUUAAAAAAAAUAAAUAAGACAAUCAAUUAAAAUUAGACGCAGAAAACAAUAGCUAUAUUUAAG